GAACCAGAAGAGUGGCAGUAAAAGCAACCAUUCCUUAACAAAUAUGCACCUCAGAUGUCCACCACCCCACCCCACCAAUUCUUUUGUUUUUCUUUCUUUCUUUCUUUUUUUAUUAUUACUUUUAAUUUUUUUGCAUGAAUAAUAUCAACAGUUCAAGUUGUCAAUCAAUGGCAAUGGCGCCUUCAAUUCCCACGAAUGGGUCAGGGAAGAAGGUUAGAAAGCCUUAUACUAUUACCAAGUCUAGGGAAAGCUGGUCUGAAGAAGAGCAUGACAAGUUUCUUGAAGCUCUUCAACUAUUUGAUAGAGAUUGGAAGAAAAUUGAAGAUUUUGUAGGUUCAAAAACGGUUAUUCAGAUUAGAAGUCAUGCCCAGAAAUACUUCUUGAAAGUUCAAAAGAAUGGGACAAUAGCACAUGUUCCUCCUCCUCGUCCUAAGCGCAAAGCUGCUCAUCCUUAUCCACAAAAGGCACCCAAAAAUGUUUUGGUGCCAUUGCCAGCUUCCAUGGCUUAUGUUUCUUCCUCUAGUACCUUUCCACAUGGUUAUGCCACAUGGGAUGAAAAUUCUUUGCGCACGAAUGAAGGAUCCAACAAAUCAGUGCCCUGUCAGGAUGGACUCACCGAUCUUCAUGGAAAUGAAGCUCAUAUUGGAUCAAAGGGAACAACACGAAUUGGCCACAGUAGUCUUAGUGGUGUAGGGAAUUCUACUAGAAAGCUUAUUGAGAUGCCAAAACAAGGGAAACAGGCAUCGGUGCUUCAGGGUUUGCCAGAUUUUGCUGAAGUUUACAGCUUCAUUGGAAGUGUUUUUGAUCCAGAAACAAAAGGCCAUGUCCAGAAGCUGAAGGAAAUGGAUCCUAUAAAUUUUGAAACUGUUUUGUUAUUAAUGAAAAACCUCUCUGUCAACUUGUCUUCCCCUGACUUUGAUCCCAUUGUGAAAUGCCAAUUUCACAUGUAUUAUUCAUCUGGCUUUUCUAUCUAGGAAGGCCUUGUUAUCGUACAAUGUCAUGACCAAGAUUAUAGGAGUUAACGAAGGAAUUGACGUGAAGAAGCAGAGAAAUGAUGUAUCAUGUCAAACCACAUGACAACCAUUAAUUGAAUUAUUAGCUGGGUCAAAAUUGGAUGGAAGAAUGAGGUUUUGCUCAACCAGCAACAAUUCAUGCACUUGCUGUGAAGCUUGUGAAUGCAACAAAACCAUCAGUCUUUGUAACCACUAUUACGAGAGUGUAUUGUUAGAAGUUCUACUAGAGCCAAAAAUAUUCUUCAGCUAAUUCUAAGGUCCAUAAGGUUUUGCUGAAUUGCAGUGAUUGUGUAUUAUGAUAGGCGAUAGCUAUUUGUAGAAUGUGGUUUUCAGGUACACACAGGUCUAAAUAGUAAGAUAAGCUUGACGGUUUCAGUGGUAUUAAAUUUGUGUGUUUGGUUGUUGGUGGUGGUGGGUUGGGGGAGGUUGCUAUUAUCAUCUAUCAAUGUGGCUUUUCAAUGCGGAAUAAGAAGCAUCAUAAUAGGAGAUGGAGAUGGUCCCAGUUUCUAAUUUUGAUUGACAUUUUCUAGCUUCAUUAACUUGAAUGCAAGUAUGAACAUAUCAAGAAAGCAGUUCAACAUAGUACCAGUUGUGUCUUCAGUUAUUUGUCGUCACAAUGAAGUACCAAACUUCA